UACCAUUCGAUACUUGUAUCAUAUCCAAUCCGGAAAGAAUAAAAACCAUUAAUUUGAAACUGGACAAAAUAUUACAUGUAUAACGUAAAACUUUCAUUAUAAAGUGGAUCCAAAUAUAAACUGUUAUAAAAACUUCUUUAUAUCGGAGUGUUCGUGUCAAUUAUAUCAGAUUAUAUGCCGGAAUUCCAGAAGGCAGGAUUAAUUGCAGGAAGCCACUUCACC